GCUGGGCAUGGUGGCUCACGCCUGUAAUCCCAGCACUUUGGGAGGCCGAGAUGGGUGGAUCACCUGAGGUCAGGAGUUCGAAACCAGCCUGGCCAACAUGGUGACACCCCAUCUCUA
ensembl:misc_RNA Metazoa_SRP Metazoan signal recognition particle RNA